rnacentral:rRNA from 1 species
AAAAUAUAAAUAAUAUUGUUUUAGUUAAUUAAAAUUGUUUUGAAAUAAAUUGUUAUAAUUAUAAAGUAUUAAUAGUAAAGAAAUAUUGAUUAAUUAGGUACUGUGAGGGAUUAAAGUGUAAUAUUAUUUAAUAGUAGAGUUAUGUGUUCGUACCUUUUGUAUAAUGGGUUGAUGAUAGGUUUUACUAUAUAGGAAAGUCUCGAAUGUAAAAAGAUUUACUUAAUAAAUUAAUGUUAACGUAGUAAAGUUAUAUUUUUAUUAUUAGGUGGUAAUGAAAUGUUUUUCGUUUUUUAUGAUAGCUAGUUUAUAAGUGUAGUAUAUUUUAGUAUUGUAGUAUUAAUAUUGAUGUGUAGAUUAGUUUAAUACUGUCUAUUUUAUAAGGGAUAAGCUUUAUAAAAUUAAUAGAAUUAUGUUGUAUAUAUAUUUUAUGUUUUUAAGUAGGAUUAAAAUUGUUUUUCUUAUAAAUAUUAAUAUAAAUUAUUAUUUUAUAAUUAUUCAUGCAGUAUCUUAUAAAUGUUUAGUAAUUAUUUAUAAAUAAAUAUAAUGUUAAUAUGAGUAUUUGAAAAUGAUUAAAUAUUAUAGUUUAUUUAAAUUGUAUAUAUUUAAAAUUAUUGUUUUUAGUGAAGUAAAAUAAAGGAAUUCGGCAAAUAUAAAUCUCGCCUGUUUAUCAAAAACAUGUCUCUUUGUGUUUAUUAAAUAAAGAGUUGAGCCUGCUCAGUGAUAUAAAUUUAACAGCUGCGGUAUUUUAACUGUACUAAGGUAGCAUAAUAAUUUGCCUUAUAAAUUGAGGCUAGAAUGAAUGGUUUGACGAAGGUUUACCUGUCUCUAUUUUAUUUAUUAGAAGUUAAUUUUUUAGUGAGAAAGCUAAAAUAUUUUUAAGGGACGAGAAGACCCUAUUGAGCUUGAAUUUAAUUGUAUUAUUUUAUAAUAUUUUAAUAAAUUUUAAUUGGGGUGAUUAAGGAAUAAAAAAUUUUAUAUAUUGUAUAGUAACUUCCUUAAUAUGAUUGUACUGUUAGGUUAAGUAACCAAUAAUAUUGCUUAUAAUAGAGUUACCAUAGGGAUAACAGCGUAAUUUAUUUAGAGAGUUCUUAUUAAAAAAUGAGAUUGCGACCUCGAUGUUGGAUUAAAGUAACCUUAAGGUGCAGAAGCUUUAUAUGGUAAAUCUGUUCGAUUUUUAAAACUUUACAUGAUCUGAGUUCAGACCGGUGUGAGCCAGGUUGGUUUCUAUCUUUUAAAAUAUGAAGAUUUUUUUUUUAGUACGAAAGGACCAAAAAAAUUAAUUUAAUUAUUUGAU